CGAGUCGGCUGGGCGGUCGCGUCGGUGCCCCUGGCAUCGCCGAGGAACGUCCGGACUCCACAGAGCAGGGUGGUUGUUAACGGCAACCCGGGGCGACCCGCGGGACAGUGCCACAGAAAACAGACCGCCGGCGACGUACCUCGGUGCGGCGCCGGUAAGGGUGAAACGGUGAGGUAAGAGCUCACCAGCACCCCGGGUGACCGGGGUGGCUAGGUAAACCCCACCCGGAGCAAGGCCAAGCAAGGCCCCCGCCGCGAGGCGGUGGCCGGCGCAGGCGUUCGAGGGCUGCUCGCCCGAGCCUGCGGGUAGGCCGCACGAGCCUGCCGGCAACGGCAGGCCGAGAUGGAUGGCCGCCACCGGCGACCAAGGUCGCCGGAACAGAAUCCGGCGUACAGGCUGACUCGUCCG
rnacentral:RNase_P_RNA from 1 species